GUCGAACAGACCUAGAACUUUAAGCUUCUGCACUUAAAACUAAUUUUAAUCCAACAUCGAGGUCGCAAACUUUUCCAUCGAUAAGAACUCUCCAGAAAAAUUACGCUGUUAUCCCUAAGGUAAUUUAAUCUAAAUAUCCAUAAAACAGGAUCCUAACAAAUAAAAAUAUUUAAUAAUUAAGUUAUGAGAGUUUUUUUAAUCUCAACAUCACCCCAACAAAAUUUUAAAUCUAAUAAAUAAUAAAAAUUAACCAUAAAUUAAAUAAAUAAAUUUAAAAUAAAAUUCUAUAGGGUCUUCUCGUCCCACUUAAAUAUUUAAGCUUUUUAACUUAAAUAUUAAAUUCAACUUUUUGAUAUAAAGAAAGUAAUUCCCUCAUCCAACCAUUCAUACAAGCCUUUAAUUAAAAGACAAAUGAUUAUGCUACCUUCGCACAGUCAAGAUACUG
rnacentral:rRNA from 1 species